UACGUAGGGGGCAAGCGUUGUCCGGAAUCACUGGGCGUAAAGCGUGCGUAGACGGUAGCGUAAGUCAGAUGUGAAAGCCCCGGGCUCAACCUGGGAACUGCAUUUGAGACUGCUCUGCUCGGGUGCGGAAGAGGGAAACGGAAUUUCCGGUGUAGCGGUGAAAUGCGUAGAUAUCGGAAGGAACACCAGUGGCGAAAGCGGCUUCCUGGUCCAGCACCGACGUUCAGGCACGAAAGCGUGGGGAGCAAACAGG
rnacentral:rRNA from 1 species